rnacentral:rRNA from 1 species
AAUUGUUCGCAAUGGGCGCAAGCCUGACGACGCAACGCCGCGUGGAGGAUGAAGAUCUUCGGGUCAUAAACUCCUUUCGAUCGAGACGAAUUCCUCCGGGGUGAACAAUCCCGGAGGUUGACGGUACCGAGAGAAGAAGCCCCGGCUAACUCCGUGCCAGCAGCCGCGGUAAUACGUAGGGUGCAAGCGUUAUCCGGAAUUAUUGGGCGUAAAGAGCUCGUAGGCGGUUUGUCGCGUCUGCUGUGAAAACCCGAGGCUCAACCUCGGGCCUGCAGUGGGUACGGGCAGACUAGAGUGCGGUAGGGGAGAUUGGAAUUCCUGGUGUAGCGGUGGAAUGCGCAGAUAUCAGGAGGAACACCGAUGGCGAAGGCAGAUCUCUGGGCCGUAACUGACGCUGAGGAGCGAAAGCGUGGGGAGCGAAC